rnacentral:rRNA from 1 species
UACGUAGGUGACGAGCGUUAUCCGGAUUUACUGGGCGUAAAGCGCACGCAGGCGGCCUGUUAAGUUUGGCGUGAAAUCUCUCGGCUUAACUGGGAGGGCGCGUUGAAGACUGGCGGGCUUGAGGCAGCGAGAGGGGUGUGGAAUUCCCGGUGUAGUGGUGGAAUGCGUAGAGAUCGGGAGGAACACCAGAGGCGCAAGCGACACCCUGGCGCUGGACUGACGCUCAGGUGCGAAAGCGUGGGGAGCGAACGGG